rnacentral:lncRNA from 1 species
UUAGGUUUCAAUAAUGUAAUGCGGGACAAUGAAAUAUAAGUGAGUAGGACAUAAUAGGUCAGAGGACACUUGCCUUCACCAAACAGAUGCUCAGGGUCUUCAACUCUGUAGAACUCGAAGAGCUAUAUCACUUGGUCGCCAACGCUUGAUCCUCGAUUCCUCGAAGCUCGGAAACAGAUCGCAAUCUAUUCGCAACGCAAAGCGAAGACAAACAGACACAAGCAAACAAACAUAUAUAUGCAUAAGAACAUUACACGAAUCAAAGAGAAACAUAAUAAAACAUGCAAUACGAAAUAAAGCGUGCUACUAUGGUCACACGAGGAAAAGAAAUGUUGAACUCGGAGCUACAUUCAAGAAGUUAACGGGUUUAUGCUAAACAAAUAUUAACUAUAACAUUUAAUUCAGUGUUAUAAAUAUAAAUUAUAACUAUUAUUUAAUUAAAGUGAGGGAUUCUAAGCGAUGACACGCGAAACAGCACGGCCGCACGCGACCUAGCGUGCACACCACGCGCGGCACGCGCAGACAACGUGACGACGGCGAACCAAACACGACAGCAUGCAAACGACGCGCGGACACGCGCGACAUAGCACGCUGACGACACCUGAAACAGCGCGCGCGACCAACGCGAACGAGCACACCACCACGUGCGAAACAACACGACAGACGAGGAAAACUAAAUAGGUGACACGUUUAUACUUAACAAAUAUUAAAUAAAUAGAAAGUAGUUAAGUUAAUAUUUUCCAUGUUAAUAUUUAUUAUAAAAGCCCAAGAAGAACACUACACAUUUAAUCUAGUUAGAAUAUUAAUCUAAUAAAUAUUAGUCGAGCGGACAUUAAGUUAAUUUUCUAAAAUAUAUGACCUGACGAACUAACGUCACUAACAUGAGUGUUUAUAAGUGGCAAACUAUUGAUUAUCACGCGCAGACGCCGUGCGACACACGUGAUCAACAUGCGAGAUACACGCUAACGACGCGCGGCAAGGCAAGCGACACAUGUAAAUGGCACACACGACGCACAGACACGGCGUGUGACGACACGCGAGUCACGCGACACUGUACGAGACAGCGCGCGGACGGCACGCGAAACAACGCGCACGACAGCGCGCGAGUCAGCGCGACUACUCGCACGACAGCGCUGAACGAUGCGCGAACGACACGCGGCGACUUGACACCGAACGACACAACGUAAGAGAAUUAUUAAGUUACGUCGUGCCUAUACUAAACAAAUAUUAAUUAAAACAUUUGAGUAGAUAUAAUCCUGUUAAUAGAUAUAAAUAAAGUGUGGCUAAAAUUAUAAAUUAGUUUAAGUAAACUAUUGCUUUAAUGACUCGGAUAAAUAAGUAAAUAAUCAACUAGUUAAUUAAAACACGCCUCGUGACGAAAUAAUGUAACUAACAUGUUGGUGACGAGGUUACGAAGUUAAAGCGACCGAAACGAAAUAGAAACGGGUUUAUGACACAUUAUAAAUGAAAUAGCUAACAAUUCAUUGCUAAUGAACAAUUUUAUUAAGGCGUGCGAAUCGCGACUCGUGUGAACGACGACAUGUGAACAACAUGCACGAACGUCGUGUGGACACACGUGAUACGCGAGGGAAGGGUGGUGAUAACGUACGCGAACAAUACAGGUGGGUAGUGUGCGGACAACACGCGACAUGCGCGAGUGACGCGUGAUGCGCGAAGCAGCACACGAGCGACGCGCGAUCCAGCACACCAUCGCGCACGGAACAGCAUGCGCGACAUGCGAGAAGUAUUUAAGCAAAGGACGCGCAUACACUAAGCGAGUAUUAAUUUAAAUCAUUUGAGUUGGCAUUAACCAAAUUAACGCGUACUAAUAAAAACACCUCUUAAAAUUAUAAAUUAGUUUUAACUAAGUUGCUCUUUUAAAAACCAACAGAUAAGUAAAUAAUUAACUAUGUGUUACGAUAAAACAACAUUUUUAAUGUGUACAAGACAUCACUAUGAAACUAACGCAGCUGAAACUGUACAAAACGAUUUUAUAACACAAGAGUUAAUGCGUAAUUAAUAAACAACGGAUUAAAGUGAUGUGGCUUAUUCUGAUUGGCCGAGGGGCUGGUCGCGCAGAUGGCCACAGAAUAGUGGGCGCAGAGGAUCAGAAAGAUGGGAUUUUGUGUGGAUGAAAGGAAGCGAUUGUUUCCUCUUCCUGCGCACGCAUGAACGAACUGACAAGUUCUUCAACCAUCCAUCUUCCUCCUCUCUUUUUCCUUGGGACAAACAAGCAGCAGGGGGAGAACGAGGCCCGGCAAGGGCACUUGGCCAGCAGGCCGCACGCAGGGGCAGCGGCUGCGCGAGGGAGUAGGGCGAGGGCGCGCUAGGCCUGCACGCCGGGGCGCUGGGGCCUGGGACGAGCUCGCCGGGGCCCACAAGACAUUUUCUAACCUUACGGAACACAAGAUCUCUGGACGGUUUCUUUGUCCUUGCGCACGACGGGCGACAGCGACCAUACCGAAGCUCGCGCAGAGGGCAGGGGCAGAGCUCACGCGUGGGGCUGGGCCGGCUAGCCAGCCGGCUGCCACGCGCAGGAGCUGCUGGCGCGGGGGCAGGGAGUCGCGACCAGGAGCUGCCGAGCCUGGGCAUGCCUGCAGGGGCCUGAGGUCGGCUGGGGGCGAGGCUGGCCAUGGGUGCUGGAAGGAGAGGGAUGGGGCAGGACAUUCCAAGACGGAGCUGCAGCAGCGCCGCUGCGGCCAGGGUGCGCUCGCGAGGAGGCCAACUCGGCCUGGGCCUAUGCUGCGCACGCAGGGGGAGGGGCGCGACAAGCGCACGCCGGAGAUCGGGAUGGGCACCAGUUCAACCUGUUGCACGCGCUAGGAGGGACUCGACCACCAGCGUCGCCGGGGAGCGCUCGCAUCGCUACACAGCACACUACAACAACAAGAAGAAAGACUGCGCCAUGCGCAAGGAGACAUCUUCUGCGCGAUUUGGAUCUGGGGAGGGACACUAGAGAUUAUGGACGGCAGGGUGGUUAUAUAAAAGAGAACGCGGGAGGUGGUUGCCAAUUUCGCUGAGGAUCGCGACAUAACUGGACGAGAGAGGCGGUUGUCGAGCGAUGACUAAAAAGGGAUGGAAUAAUUGUGUGAAGCGACAACCGGGAGUACCAACGUUAGAAGAAAACAAAGUUAGAUGGAGGACAGACAUAGGAAUAGACGGGGUAACAUGCCGAGGGUAGACGCCAAGGGUAGACGACGGGGUAGACGCGACCAACACGACGUUUGUGAGGAGAGAUGUUUUAACGACCCCGCGAAAAGGACAUGAGAUCUAGAACAGACUCGACGAGAGGAAAAAUAUAUAAACAUAUAUUAUUGAGUUUCCAGAAUUUUAUAGUUUUUUCGCAAAUGCUAAAUUUUAGGCAUUUAAAUAAUAUUUAGAAAGAAAAACUGAAAUUCAUAUUUAAUACUCGAAGAAACAUUUCGAGGGUUCCCGAAAGUUUUCCGGAAACAUAAACAAAAUAAUCCGAUAAAGUUUGAAAAUAUUUGCACUUAUAAACACUAUGCAACGACAUGAAUGCAACAAUCAAAGCUUCUCCAGGAUUUUAUUUUACUACACUAACAACUUUUAUAUAUACCUAUUAUAAAAUAAAUUAACUCUCCAUUAUUUAGGAAAAGGAAAAGAAAAUUAUGGAAAAGAGAAGGUAACACCUGAAUUUGGUGGAUAUUAGAAAAGAAAUUUUAUACCCCCAAAUUCAGGGUGUUACAGAUCUAACCCCCUUAACAGGAAUCUCGCCCCCGAGAUUCAAGAAGAAGCUAGCAAGAAAACGAGGUUGGUUCAUAGGUUGUUCAAGGCUUCUUCUGACUCAACUCUGACUCUGGCAGGUUUAACUUGCGGACUGGUUUCUUUGACCUUUAGAUGCUUGAGACCGAUCGAUAUAAUUCUUGAGGAUCCCUUGGACCUGUGGGUUAGGCCCGCACACUCUUUCGUUGCACCACUUUGAUCUUGUCAGUUGAUGUUGAUCACAUUGUCUUCAUUGGGGUUAGCGGCUAACCCCCUUAACAGGAGCGUUGAUAUGCACUUGAUGAAGAUGCUGCCGACUCUGAUCUUAAUUGGUUAAAAGGAGCUGGAGGUUGCCAAUUGCAUAGGUGCGAGAGGGAAGAAUAUAGGUAGAAAAGGUAAGCAUAGAUGGAUUAAAGAGAGAAAAGGAAGAGCACCCAACUACCUAACUCUAUUGCACUCAGCUAGUAAACUGAUGUCAUUGUGGACCAAAGGCCACAAUACAUCAACACUCAUCACAAAGAAUCAAAUCAGUCAUCACACAAAGACAAACAACACAAGCAUACAAUAACAAACAUCUCGUUGCUAUACGCUAAUGUUAACUAGAUGGUGGCCUUUCCUUACAAUGGGGAAACUACUCUAAGACCAUCGAAGGACAAGGGGAAUGAUAAGACAUGCAGGAUAUGGGCAUGAGCUUAAUAAAGGAUGAAGCUAAAGCAAGGAUUGUAACCGACAAGGGAGAGAAUGCAACCAAGGUCAAGAUAGAUAAAACACCAUCCUCAAAUCGAGAUCGAAAAGAUGAUAAUUCAAAAGGUAGGCAUAAGAUAAGCAUCAUGGAAAGUUCUAGAUAUUAGGAAGGUAAGGGUGAUAUUGAACAAAAGCUAAGACUUGCAACACAACAGAGGAAAAGGGGAACAAACAAGAGCAGGAUGGGUAAGACAUCACUUGUUGGGGGCCUUCGUCUUCCGAAGGUCCUCAAAAACAUGAUUUAACAAUGUUUCUGGAGUGUAAUACAUGAACAGGUACCUUCGGACUUGGAUCAGAACCACUGUGAGAAGCACGAAGAAUACGAAGGUUGACGCAGAGCCGAAGCUAUGCGCAAGGGAGCUUCGGCAUGAUAGCAGAAAAAGGAACCGACUUAAAAGGGAAAAGGCUAUUUAGACCUUGAUGGAUCACUAUAGAGUCAUUAACAAAUGUAAAGGGCAUGGAUGUAAUUUUACAUGGGCUGUGUCUCGUGCCUAUAAAUAGAUGAACAGUGCUCCUGUACUGUUCACGCUGACUUGGCAUUUGCUUUUGCGUCACGCUCGUACCUUUAUCUUCUUUCAAGCCGAAGGUACAUUUGUAAUUUGAUGUCAUUUCUAUUUUUCCAUGAUAAUAAAAUAGAAAUGAGCUGAUAAUGUUACAUAUUUGUUCAUGUUAUCUCUUACAUUCCAUAUGAUUCUCCUUUUAUUAUCGUAUACUACAAUGAUGAAGGUAUGUCCUUCAUGACCUUCGUCUGAAGAUCAUUAUAUCCUAAGGGAAAUAAUGCUUCGAAGGACGAAGGACCUUAACAUUUAAUAUUUUGUGUUGCCUUGUUCUUAACUCAUAGCAUUUGAGAACAAGUCCCCAACAUUGGUGCCCACCUCCGGUGAAUCCUUUUCGACCACCUUUGGCAAGCACUGACCUUCGUCAUGCCACCGAAGAAAGCUUCAGCGACAGGGGCUGCCGCUCUGCAGCCGCUGGACCCAAACCAGGAGACCCUUUCUCUUCGAGAGGCCCGAAGCCAGAAGAGGAAGGCCUCUAGUCCAACACCCUAGGAGGAUGAGUUGGACCAAGAAAUCAGAAACAUGGAGAUGCUUCAUCAACAAGUACAAAGGAAGAAGGAAAAGAUGGCUCGACUAGCUGACCUUCAAAGGCAGAUUGACGAAGCCACUAAAGAAGUACGCCAUCUUGCUCAAGAUGAACAAGAACGAAGGCCCCAACACAGGGAGCUUCAUCAAGAAGGCUUGUUCGACGAUGAUGGAUGGUAUGAUGAUUUUAAUCAUGGUACCUUUACUUUUGACGAUGCUUCUCCCUUGGCAGUAGAACUGCAGGCUAUCCCAUGGCCCCCAUCAUAUAAGCCACCUCAGCUUCCAAUGUAUGAUGGGCAUUCAAAUCUGAAGCAGUUUUUGAUGAGUUAUGAAGCAACCAUAUCUUCAUAUGGAGGCAACACAGCUGUCAUGGCCAAGUCCUUCGUCAUGGCAGUUAAGAAUGUGGCCCAAAUGUGGUAUUCUUCUCUUCGGCUAGGAACUAUUACCUCAUGGCAGAAGCUCAAGGACAUGCUAGUGACAAGUUUCCAGGGCUUUCAGACGAAUCCAGUCAUAGCUCAAGCUCUCUUUCAAUGCACGCAAGAUCAUGAGGAGUAUCUCCAAGCAUAUGUCAGAAGGUUCUUGCGCCUGAGAGCACAAGCGCCUACAGUGCCCAAUGAAAUUGUCAUUGAGGCCAUGAUUAAGGGGCUUCGUCCAGGACCUACUGCCCAGUAUUUUGCUAGGAAGCCUCCACAGACUUUGGAGAAGUUGCUUCAAAAGAUGGAUGAAUACAUCUGGGCCGACAAUGACUUUCGCCAAAGAAGGGAGGAAGCCUACAGGUCCUCUGAGAUGACUAGGGGCUUCGGAGGAAGGAUCCACCCAAGGCAUGUCAGGUCAAUCCAUUCCACUCAGAGUGAUGACAGAGGAAGUCAACAACAGAGGCCCCAAUAUUCCUCGCAAGCUUUGGGGCAACAACAAAGCUCUUUCCGGCCGCUAGCUCCAAGAGGCAGAAACGCCAGGGGCUUCGGAGGAAGGUUUGGGGAUCACCCUAGAAAAAUUUAUUGCCUAUUCUAUGGUGAGGACAAGCGCCAUACUACAAGGAUGUGCCAUGUCACCAUUCAGAAACAGAAGGAAAUAGCAGAAGCCGCAGCUCAACAGAACCAGCCGAAGCAGGUCAUGCACACUGCUUCGUAUCACUCGCCAUACAUACCAGAGUAUGUGGGUAACCAUCCUGCAGCUUCUGUUGCUUCGGCUAGCCAGCCACAGGCAUCUUAGCAACAACCUCCACCUCCGCCACCACUACAACCUGUAUAUUCACGAAGCCAGCAGCCAGAAGGGAGCCAACAGACUCAUCAGCAGCGAGACUUCAGGGAGGAGUCCGAAGCUCGCACAGUCAACAGUACUGUGCCAGAAUCGAAGCAUAUCUACUAAGAGAUAUCCUACCCCUGAAACAGUUUUUACAUUCGUUAUAAUUUUCUUUUUUAAUAAGGAACAAUCAUUGAAACCCUAGUUCUUUUGUUGUUUUCAAUUUCUUCAAUUUCCUGUAAUAGCUUCGUUCUUGCCAUAGUAUAAUAUAUCUUCUCCACAGACUCACGAAGUUCAAAAAAAAAGUCGCUGAAGCACAAAAGUCGUUCCUAAGGGAACGCGGGGCUAAAAAUCACAUUACAAGUUUCACCGAAGCUACAAAAAGUCGUUCUAAGGAAUGCAGCGUAAGUUUCACCGAAGCUACAAAAAGUCGUUCCUAAGGGAGCGCAGCGUAAGUUUUCUGCUCAAAAGUCGUUCCAAAGGGAAUGUAGAGCCAAAUACCACCAAAAUAUAAGGCGAAGCGUGAAAAGUCAACGCGAAUACCGCCGAAAUAGAAGGCAAAGAAGUUCAAAAGACGUUCCUAAGGGAAUGCAGAACUUACAACGAAAAGUCAGCGCUGAUACACCGAAAAAUAAGCGGUGAAGCCGAAAAAUAAACGGCAAAAAGAUUGUGUAUUCCACUAUGGGGAUGUGUGUGUGUCUUCGGCACAAAUAUCAUUUUGCAUAGCAUAACAUCAUCACAUCAUUUCGCAUAACAUAACAUCAUACAUCAUGUUGCAUCAAUGGCACAAGAAGGGGAAACAAUGUUGACCUUCGGAGAAUGCUUCGAAAAAGUGAAAUUGUGCUAAGGCACAAAGUAAGUUUUGAAGAAAUACAACUUCAUCAGCUCUGAUGUGGAGGAAAAACCUAUUGUUGACGAAGCAUUAAUGUUUUGGCAAUGCUUGGAGGAUUUUUUACGAAGCACUCUGAUGUGGAGGAAAAAACCUAUUGUUGACGAAGCAUUAAUGUUUUUGCGACGAUUGGAGGAUUUUUCACGAAGCAUAAAAGCUCUUCUUUACGAAGCAUGAAAAGAAGGGAAGGUGUUUUUUCGCCGAAGGCUCAAAAACGGUAUGUACAUAAAAGUUUCAUGCAUCCCAAAGGAAUGAAUUACAAAGCCAUUCAUAUAUUACAUUCAAAACCCAUGAGCACCAAAUAUUACAAGCAUAGUUUAGCAAAUGUUACAUUAAUAAUCUAGCAAUGUUUUUACAAUAACUAUUCUUCUUCUUUCAAAACUUUAUCUGCAGCUUCGGCCAGCAGUUGGGUAACGACUUCGUCUAUAAUAGUUUCGGCCAUGUUAAUAAUUUCUGAUGAUUUCUUUGCCUCUGCUUCGGCCAGUGACUCGAAGGGCUCCGGGGGAGGAGAUAGUUCAGUUGCGAUAGAAAACGUAAAUCAGUUCGAAGUCACAAAAGUAAACAACAAAGUUAAAAAUCAUUAAGUAAUACCUAUUCGUCUCUCAAGCUCCGCAGCCUUUUCAGCUGCUUUUGUUGCUUCUCUAGUGUCAUGAGUAUCUUUUUCGCUCUUCUUUACUAUUUCGUGAGCCAUCCCUCGGCCACCAUUUUCCCAGAUGUCAGUGAAAAUUUUUCCGCCUAUUAAGCUUGCUUCGGCCGAGGGGUCCUUCGUAUCAUCAAUGGAGAAAGUAGCUUCGGCUUGGGCCAAAGUUUUAACAUGUUCGCACCCUGCUUUCUCCAAGAUAGCUGUAACUCCCCUCGCACCAGAGAAGGCACAAACGUCCCCUCGAUCACUAAAAAUUUCCUCAAAAGCUUCGGCUUCGCUGCUGAUCCACUCAAUUGGGCCCUCAGGAUCGCCUCUUAUGAAGUUGUCCUCGCUUGAGUAUGCGCCAACGUUAGCGAAGCUAGUUUUUAUCUUUUUCACGCAAUCCAUAGAUUUUUCAAAGCAUCUUUCCUUGGAUAUGUGAAGUUCUUCAACGUUUUCUCUAAAUGAUUUGUCCACUGUUCGCUAAUUCCUCGUUUAGCUUCUGCGACUGCGCACUUCUCUUUAGCUUCGGCUAGUUGCUUCCGAAGGUCUUCAAUCUCAAUUUUUUGGGCUUCAGAUUGGGUUUUAAAGUUAGCUUCGUCCCUCUUUACUUUGUCCACCAAUGUAAGCAGAAUUUUGUCUUUUUCCAAAGCUUCGUUCCUCAGCUUAAUAACCUAUGUUCGAAGGUUAUUGAGAGCAAUACUGCAACUCUCGUCUUCGGCAUUCUUUUGCGCCCUUAAGGCGUUGCUAAGUAUUAAGCCCUACACGAAAGAAUGAAUGGAUCAAUAUAAGAACCAAAGACUAACUCGAAAUUCAUAAAAUUCCAAAUUCACAAUUUUUGUACCUUCAGACUGUUGUACGCAAGGCUAUCCGCGAGAUCGUCCUUCGUCAUGGCACAAAGGCCAACUUCGAGCUUCGGAAAGCCCAUACUUCUGGCCAUCUCCCGGCAUACAGAUAAUUCUUUGUUGUCUAGGAGGCAAUAUAAGAAGUCAUCUUCGUCUGUGCCAUUAAACACUAAGGCCCCUUUUGGGUAUUUCAGUUCUCGAGCAUAGUGUUUAGCUUCAAAAAUUUCUUCUUCGGAUAAUCUUUUUCCCGAAGCGUGUCGAAUAAUAUAAUCAAGGUCCUCGGAAGACGCUUCGGGAGCAGGAGAGGUAGCUUUUUCAGGCAAAAUCUGUUCUAUACCCUCUUCUUCUGCUGCCUUUUCUCCAGUUUCCGAGGAUUUCUCCUUGGCAGGCACUGAAGGCCCAGCUUCGGCGUCGGCCUGGCUCAGUAUAGCUUCGGCUUCGAUCAGCUUUGUCUCGGUUUCAAUCUGUAUUUUCGAAGCCUUGGCAAUUUUUCCUGGAGUAGAGCUUGAAGUUUUUAUCGUCUCCAGCACAUCUAAUACACUAGCCAUCCUUUUUCUCUUGGGGUUUGCUGCUAGAUCUUUUUGUGUCUUCGGCGCCUCAACUCCUUCCGAAGGGCUUAGAACUUCUGAUGUUUUCGUCUCUUCGGUUCUCGGUUCUUCAAUUUUGUCAGCCUUCGACAUUGCAGCCGACUCUUCAAUCCUCUGUGUAAGAGCAGGUCCUUUGGCUUCAGUAGCCGAAGAGGUUUCACCGCCAAAUUCAGGCACUGUGGCCGGUUCAAUGUAGCGUGGUCGGUGAGUAAGAACCUUCACCUUUUUCCUCUUCGGCGUGGGCUCGCUUGAAGCGGCUGAAGCAACAUCCUUCCUAGAAGUUCCACUCUUUCUCUUCUGCCCCCGUGGCGGGUAGCGAUAGUCAGUGUACAUAAAUCCAAUAGCAUCAAAAACUCUAUUUAGCCUCUUCUUUUUUUGGCUCCCGAAUGCCGCAUAUAGUGCGUUAUCUUCAGACUUGGAGUAUGCUCCAAGUAGUUCAUCACUAGUGUUUUCAACACACUUCAACCAGUCAUCGUCUGGUUCGAUAAUUUGGUCUCCAAACCUGAAGGUAUAUUUUAAUCGAACCAAACCACCUUCACUAGGGUUAGUGAUGGUUUCCUUUGGCAUUUCCCAGUUGUCUAUCAGUGGCCAUAUCCUAUAGGCCACAUGCUCUUGGACUAAAUCCCUUGUCCCGAUGAAAGAGCAAACUGUCCCGAAGGCCCUUCGGCAUCCUUCGACUGCCUCAUCAAUCUCUACCUUCGGCUUUCGGAGGCCGAAGCGUGACCAGAUGGGGCGCAUGAUGAUCUCUUUAAUGUCUUCUCGUGCCUUUAAAUCAUUUUUCACAUAGAACCAUUCUUUCAUCCAGUCUCCGGGCCAUCUCUUCCGAAAAGUUGGCACCGGGCAGCUUGCGCCAGAGCGAGCAACGAAGCUAUAACACCCAAAAUUUUUAUGAUAUUGUUCCUUACCCCAGGGCUUCGUCUCAUACGAAAGCUCGUGCAUACCGCAAAAACAUCUUGCGCUUGGCUCUAAACCUUGACUCCUCACGGCCCAGACGAAGAUCCCCAUUCUAAUAAUUGCUUUGGGAGUAAUCUGGUGAAGGAAAAUCUCAUAUAUCUUUAGAACUUCAACCACAAAUCUGCUUAGGGGGAACCGAAGUCCAGCCUUGAAGAAGCUUCGGUAGAUUACGACUUCAUUUUCUUCGGGAACAGGAACAACCCUGUCUCCGUUGUCAUCCCUCACAAUAGACAUAUCUCGAAAAUACCUUCCUCUCAUAUUAUUAAGAUGACUCUGUUUGAUAGUCGAUUUCCCGAAAACUGCAUGGCUUGGUCGCCAGGGCCGAUCUUUGGAGUCUUCGCCCCCACUUUCUACAUCAUAGCUGUCGCUAUCAUCAGUAUCUUCAUAUAAGCCUUCUAGAAUUUCUUUUUUAAUUUUCUCUGUAUUUGUUUUUGCAAUUGACUCAAUGAAUCCAACAGUCUUUUCCUCAAGGAGCUUCUCCUCUUCGCCCAGCUUUAUCUCAGCAACAACUUUUUUUUUAUCUUGAGACAUCUUAACUUCGGAAAUCACGAAAAUGUGUCCUUAAAUCCGAAGCUUAGAAAAUCUAACAAACUAAGCAACUGUUGGCAAGCAAGAGCUAAGAAAUUAAGCAAAGCAAAGCAGGCGUACCAAAUGUGCUCGGGGUGAGUUCUUAUUUAUACGCCCAACGCGCUCCAAGUUGGAGGGCCCCGUCUGUCAUUGACUGUUGCUAUUCUAGCAAAGGGAAGGUGUUUUUUCGGAUCUUUGGCUUAGGGCCUUCGUCCAUAUCGCAAUCUGAAUUCGUUAUUCUAACAAAUUAACCUUGCGAGGGGCUACUGUUGGGGGCCUUCGUCUUCUGAAGGUCCUCAAAAACAUGAUUUAACAAUGUUUCUGGAGUGUAAUACAUGAACAGGUACCUUCGGACUUGGAUCAGAACCAGUUGAGAAGCACGAAGAAUACGAAGGUUGACGCAGAGCCGAAGCUAUGCUCAAGGGAGCUUCGGCAUGAUAGCAGAAAAGGGAACCGACUUAAAAGGGAAAAGGCUAUUUAGACCUUGAUGGAUCACUAUAGAGUCAUUAGCAAAUGUAAAGGGCAUGGAUGUAAUUUUACAUGGGCUGCGUCCCGUGCCUAUAAAUAGAUGAACAGUGCUCCUGUACUGUUCACGCUGACUUGGCAUUUGCUUUUGCGUCACGCUCGUACCUUUAUCUUCUUUCAAGCCGAAGGUACAUUUGUAAUUUGAUGUCAUUUCUAUUUUUCCAUGAUAAUAAAAUAGAAAUGAGCUGAUAAUGUUACAUAUUUGUUCAUGUUAUCUCUUACAUUCCAUAUGAUUCUCCUUUUAUUAUCGUAUACUACAAUGAUGAAGGUAUGUCCUUCAUGACCUUCAUCUGAAGAUCAUUAUAUCCUAAGAGAAAUAAUGCUUCGAAGGACGAAGGACCUUAACAUUUAAUAUUUUGUGUUGCCUUGUUCUUAACUCCUAGCAUUUGAGAACAAGUCCUCAACAUCACUCUUGAAAUGAAAUGGGAGACACGGCUUUAAAAUGCAGGUACGUGAUAAGUAUCAAGGUAAAGAUCGAGGGAUGACAAGGGUUAAGGUGAUAACGGACAAACACACAAUCAAGGAUGUAUUUUAGACAAAACUUGCAAGGCGUCAAAGAAGGGGAAGCAAUCAAUGGUGAAGUAGGUGAGGCAUUACCCCCGAACAUGGAUGAAAAGAGAAGGCUUCAAAGGGUAGGUUCAAGGUAAGCAAGAAGGCAAGGACAUAGAUAUCACGAGGGUUUUAAAGGUAAUAACGGACAAGGAUGUAGGAGAGGAGGUAAAUAGGAAUAAGAACAAAGGACAUAAUUAGUACUACAAAGGAUGGAGUUAGGACAUGACCUACAAGUGGAAAAGAAGUGGGUACGUCCAAGGGCCAGAUUGGUAAAAUGCCACUCUCAAAUUGAGGUGGAAGAGAGGAGAUUUUUAAAGAGUAGGCAUAAAGAUAAGUAUCAAAGCAAGAUCGAUGGAUAACAAGGUGAUGGUGAUAGCAAAUAAAAAAACACAUCAAAGGAUUGAAUUAAGACAAAACUUGUAAGGUGAUAGAGAGGGAAAAGAAAUCAAGAGAGAGAUAGGUAACUCACAGCUCUCAAACUGGGUUGAAAGAAAGGAGAGGCUUUUAAAGGAUAAGUUCAAAGUAAGCAUUUAGGUAGAAGGCCUUGCAAGGGUCAAAGGCGACAGCAGACAAGGGUAUGAGAGAAAAGAUGAAGGCAUUGAAGAGCCAGUGGUAUGAGUACAACAAAUAAUGGAGUCACGUCCAAGCUUACACACGGUAAAGAAGAGGAUGUUGUCAAGGGUGAGAUAAGUAAAACACCGCUCCUGAACUAGGAUGGAAAGGAGAAGGCUCCAAAGGCUAGGUUCAAAGUAAGCGUCAUGGUAAAUAUAUAGGUAUUACAAGGGUUGAAUGCGAUAACAGAAAAGGGUGUAAGAGAAGAGGUAAAGGUAUAGAAGAACCAAGGGUAUGAGUACAACAGAGAAUGGUGUUAAGGCAAGAUUUGCACGUGGAAAAGAUGAGAAAGGUAAAGGUACUACCCAACCGGAGCACAACAAAGGAUGAAGUUAAAAACUCGCAAGCGACCAGGAAGAGGAUACGACCAAGGGAAAAGUAGGUAAAAUUCAACUCUCAGAUUGAGAUGGAAGAGAGGGGAUUUUAAAGGACCAACAUAAGAUAAACAUCAAGGUAAGAUAUAGAGGUGAUAAGGGUAAAGGUUAUAAUCACGUAAGCAUAACCAAGGAUAGAGUUAAGGCAAAACUUAUGAAGUGGCGAACUGGAUAAGGCAACCCAGGGUGAGUUAGAUAAGGUUCCAACAGGAUGGUUGAAGUAGCAGAAAUUAUUACCGAGGGAUGUUAUAAGGGGACAAUGAGAUCAUCAAGGAUGUGUGAAAUAGAAUGAUCACUCAUGGGUCAUUAAGAAACAAGGGUGGCCAAGGACAUGUUAACUGAAAUAACAUUUGUUGGGGUAUGAAAAAUAAGCAUACAUAAGAAUAUAAGAAUAUGUAAGAUUCCAAGGAUGCAGGCAUACCAAGACAAGGGAAUAGAAAAGGCCAAAGGAUAACAAUUUAACGACAGAAUAAGAAGGGGUCUUAGAAGACAAGAAGUUCAUGGACAUAUAAACUAAAAAGUUUAAGUAGGCAAUACAAAUUAUGAUGUAAGCAUUUGAAACAAGAGUAUUGAGGAAUCUAGGGUUAUGGGCAUGUCAAUACCAAGCGAAUAGAGAUGGUCAAAUGGUAGCAAUUUAAUAAUGGAAGAGACAAGAAUCACAAAAGACAAGAAGGUUAUGGUCAGGGGCAUCUACAAGGAUGUCGCAAGCACAAGAGUGAGAUCAGAUCUAAUAGAUUGAGAGAAGUAUAGACCAUACUAGAAUAAAAUACUUUUGGCAAGGGGGCAUAUAGGAGCACAACAUAAAAUUAGUCGAGGUGACUAAUAUUUUGAAGCAGAAUCAAGGAUGAGGUGAAGUAAUAAUCAAUAAGUCCUUAAAACAGCCAAUGCUACUCUAGGUCAGCGGUCCUACAGUCAGCACGGCUUUGAUACCACUUAUGUCACACCCGGUUUUGAAAGGUAAACCGAAUGCGAACCAUGUACGUGCCAGGAUCAGGAAUUCACAUACACGGCGAUUACAUAAAUGACUCAUCAUAGCACAAUGCUUCGAAUAACAAUAAAGAGUAAGUAAUAAUAUGAAAGACUAGAGUCAUUUAUAUAAUAUAAUCAAAGUACACAGAAUAGAAAUGUAGCCAACGUAAAUUAACCCACCACAAGCAGCUGACUGGGGGAGGUCGCUAGCCUAAUCCUCGAACUCGUCGAAGUCCUGGAACCCCUGGAGAUUCGCCUCGACACCUUCUUCUUUACCUGAGCAUAGAUUGCACCAAAGGCAACCUGGUGUUUUGUGAAAGCAAGGGUGAGUACACAUCAACGUACUCAGCAAAUGUCCCGUUUGGCUGAGGUGGACUAGCUUUAUGUGGGGUUAAGCUCAAGCAGUUGCUUUUAGUUGGUUAUGUAUUUAUUAUUAGUGGAAACCAAAUUUUAGCAAUAACCAACCCGUGAGCCAUUUCCUCAUCGAGGAACAACAUUAUCAUCGUUGAACCAAAAUCAUUAAUAGAACCAUUGAAUCUCAGAUCAUCUGUAUCUCUAAUCAAAGAGGAUCCCAAGGCCGUUCAUAACCGUGAGCACGACUGAUAUAUCAGUUUCUAAUCCUCUGUAGAGGUCGCACACUUUACCCACGAGUCAUGAUUCCCUUUCUGCCCGGGGAGAGCUAAUCCCCUUUGACCACUACCUAGGUGGCCUAGCAGGGUAUCACUACGUAGCCUUUACAAAGACUCUCCUGGUGCAUAGCUGCUCGUUAGGUUUCGCCAGUCGUACAAACGCAGUACACCUCCCCAAGGUGGGUGACUAACAAAACCAAAUCGAAAGAACCUCUGCACCCCAACCUUGGCAGAGCGAGCACUACGCCCCGGUCCCCAUUGACGGCCCUCCGGCAAAGCCAACUAUACCCCCAGGUUCAUCUAAUUAAUCAGCUAAGGGCGUCCCAUUCCACCCUCAUGGCUGCACUGUUAUCCCGGGUGGUCACUCCACGAACAGGUCCUUACGGAGAGGUACUCAGGGAAAAUGGCCCGAGUCCCCUAAAAUAUCACAAUAUCCUCAUCGGGAUAACAUCAUCGUAUCAUAAAUAUUCACAUCAUGUUCAUUGAUUAAAUUAGAGCAAUAGCAUGAAGCUAACCAUAAUAACCCAAAAGGUAAUCAAGGACAAGGUAAAUAGAGACUAGUCGGUCCUUAGGUUUCAAUAAUGUAAUGCGGGACAAUGAAAUAUAAGUGAGUAGGACAUAAUAGGUCAGAGGACACUUGCCUUCACCAAACAGAUGCUUAGGGUCUUCAACUCUGUAGAACUCGAAGAGCUAUAUCACUUGGUCGCCAACGCUUGAUCCUCGAUUCCUCGAAGCUUGGAAAUGGAUCGCAAUCUAUUCGCGACGCAAAGCGAAGACAAACAGGCACAAGCAAACAAACAUAUAUAUGCAUAAGAACAUUACACCAUUCAAAGAGAAACAUAAUAAAACAUGCAAUACGAAAUAGAGCGUGCUACUAUGGUCACACGAGGAAAAGAAACGUUGAACUCGAAGCUACGGUCAAGAAGUUAACGGGUUUAUGCUAAACAAAUAUUAACUAUAACAUUUAAUUCGGUGUUAUUAAAUAUAAAUUAUAACUAUUAUUUAAUUAAAGUGAGGGAUUCUAAGCGAGGUGAUUUUAUGACACGCGAAACAGCACGGCCACACGCGACCUAGCGUGAACGUGACGACGGUGAACCAAACACAACAGCAUGCAAAUGACGCGCGGACACGCGCGACAUAGCACGCUGACGACAACUGAAACAGCGCGCGCGACCAGCGCGAACGAGCACGCCACCACGUGCGAAACAGCACGACAGGCGAGGAAAACUAAAUAGGUGACACGUUUAUACUAAACAAAUAUUAAAUAAAUAGAAAGUAGUUAAGUUAAUAUUUUCCAUGUUAAUAUUUAUUAUAAAAGUCCAAGAAGAACACUACACAUUUAAUCUAAUUAGAAUAUUAAUCUAAUAAAUAUUAGUCGAGCAAACAUUAAGUUAAUUUUCUAAAAUAUAUGACCUGACGAACUAACAUCACUAACAUGAGUGUUUAUAAGUGGCAAACUAUUGAUUAUCACGCGCAGACGCCGGGCGACACACGUGAUCGACAUGCGAGAUACACGUUAAUGACGCGCGACAAGGUAAGCGACACGUGUAAAUGGCACACGCAACGCACGGACACGACGUGUGACGACACGCGACACUGUACGAGACAGCGCGCGGACGGCACGCGAAACAACGCGCACGACAGCGCGGAACGAUGCGCGAACGACACACGACGACUUGACACCGAACGACACAACGUAAGAGAAUUAUUAAGUUACGUCGUGCCUAUACUAAACAAAUAUUAAUUAAAACAUUUGAGUAGAUAUAAUCCUGUUAACAGAUAUAAAUAAAGUGUGGCUAAAAGUAUAAAUUAGUUUAACUAAACUACUACUUUAAUGACUCGGAUAAAUAAGUAAAUAAUCAACUAGUUAAUUAAAACACGCCUUGCGAUGAAAUAAUGUUACUAACAUGUUGGUGACGAGGUUACGAAGUUAAAGCGACCGAAACGAAAUAGAAACGGCUUUAUGGCACAUUAUAAAUGAAAUAGCUAACAAUUCAUGGCUAAUGAACAAUUUUAUUAAGGCGUGCGAAUCGCGACUCGCGUGAACGACGACAUGUGAACAGCACAUACGAACGUCGUGUGGACACAAGUGACACGUGAGGGAAGGGUGGUGAUAGCGUACGGGAACAAUACAGGUGGGUAGUGUGCGGACAACACGCGACAUGCGCGAGUGACGCGCAAAGCAGCACACGAGCGACGCGCGAUCCAGCACGCCAUCGCGCAUGGAACAACAUGCGCGACAUGCGAGAAGUAUUUAAGCAAAGGACACGCAUACACUAAGCAAGUAUUAAUUUAAAUCAUUUGAGUUGGCAUUAACCAAAUUAACGCGUACUAAUAAAAACACCUCUUAAAACUAUAAAUUAGUUUUAACUAAGUUGAUCUUUUAAAAACCAACAGAUAAAUAAAUAAUUAAAUAAUUAACUAAAGUAUGUGUUACGAUAAAACAACUUUUUUAAUAUGUACAAGACAUCACUAUGAAACUAACGCAGCUGAAACUGUACAAAACGAAUUUAUAACACAAGCGUUAAUGCGUAAUUAAUAAACAACGGAUUAAAGUGAUGUGGCUUAUUCUGAUUGGCCGAGGGGCUGGUCGCGCAGAUGGCCACAGAAUAGUGGGCACAGAGGAUCGGAAAGGAUGGGAUUUUGUGUGGAUGAAAGGAAGCGGUUGUUUCCUCUUCCUGCGCACGCACGAACGAACUGACAAGUUCUUCAACCAUCCAUCUCCCUCUCUUCUUCCUUGGGACAAACGAGCAGCAGGGGGAGGACGAGGCCCGGCAAGGGCACUUGGCCAGCAGGCCGCGCGCAGGGGCAGCGGCUGCGCGAGGGAGCAGGGCGAGGGCGCGCUAGGCCUACACGCCGGGGUGCUGGGGCCUGGGAUGAGCUCACCAGGGCCCACAAGACAUUUUCUAACCUUACGGAAUGCAAGAUCUCUGGACGGUUUCUUUGUCCUUGCGCACGACGGGCGACGACGACCAUACCGAAGCUCGCGUAGAGGGCAGGGGCAGAGCUCGCGCGUGGGGGCUAGGCCGGCUGGCCGGCCGGCUACCGCGCGCAGGAGCUGCUGGCGCGGGGGCAGGGAGUCGCGACCAGGAGCUGCCGAGCCUGGGCGUGCCUGCAGGGGCCUGGGGUCGGCUAGGGGCGAGGCUGACCAUGGGUGCUGGAAGGAGAGGGAUGGGGCAGGACGUUCCGGGACGGAGCUGCAGCAGCGCCGCUGCGGCCAGGGUGCGCUUGCAGGUGGAGGGGCCUAUGCUGCGCACGCAGGGGGAGGGGCGCGACGAGCGCACACCGGAGAUCGAGAUGGGCACCGGUUCAACCUGCUGCACGUGCUAGGAGGGACUCGACCGCCAGCGUCGCCGGGGAGCGCUCGCAUCGCUACACAACACACUACAACAGGAAGAAGAAAGGCUGGGAGAGAGAGAGAGAAUGAGAGGGCUCACCUGGAACCGCCAUGCGCAGGGACGACAGCUUCUGCGCGAUUUGGAUAUGGGGAGGGAGACUAGAGGUUAUGUGACAGCAGGGUGGUUAUAUAAAAGAGAACGAGGGAGGUGGUUGCCAU